UACGUAGGGUGCGAGCGUUGUCCGGAAUUACUGGGCGUAAAGCGCGCGCAGGCGGUCGCGCAGGUCAUCUGUGAAAGCCCCCGGCUCAACCGGGCGGAUGCGGGUGAAACCGCGCGACUGGAGGGCGGUAGAGGGUGGUGGAAUUCCCGGUGUAGUGGUGAAAUGCGCAGAUAUCAGGAGGAACACCAAUGGCGAAGGCAGCUCGCUGGGACGUGACUGACGCUGAGACGCGAAAGCGUGGGGAGCAAACAGG
rnacentral:rRNA from 1 species